rnacentral:pre_miRNA from 1 species
UUUAAUUUUUGACUCUUCGUCUUAUUCAAUGUUUUUGUGAUUGAUAUUUUUAUUUUUAUUAGAUGAUAAAUCAUGAAUAGUACUUUACGUGUGACUAUUCUAAUUUUCUAAAAAAUUUUAAAUAGGACGAAUGGUCAAACGUUGGACAUAGAAACC